UAGAGUUUGAUCAUGGCUCAGAUUGAACGCUGGCGGCAGGCCUAACACAUGCAAGUCGAGCGGAAACGACACUAACAAUCCUUCGGGUGCGUUAAUGGACGUCGAGCGGCGGACGGGUGAGUAAUGCCUAGGAAAUUGCCUUGAUGUGGGGGAUAACCAUUGGAAACGAUGGCUAAUACCGCAUAACGCCUACGGGCCAAAGAGGGGGACCUUCGGGCCUCUCGCGUCAAGAUAUGCCUAGGUGGGAUUAGCUAGUUGGUGAGGUAAUGGCUCACCAAGGCGACGAUCCCUAGCUGGUCUGAGAGGAUGAUCAGCCACACUGGAACUGAGACACGGUCCAGACUCCUACGGGAGGCAGCAGUGGGGAAUAUUGCACAAUGGGCGAAAGCCUGAUGCAGCCAUGCCGCGUGUAUGAAGAAGGCCUUCGGGUUGUAAAGUACUUUCAGUUGUGAGGAAGGGGGUAGCGUUAAUAGCGCUGUCUCUUGACGUUAGCAACAGAAGAAGCACCGGCUAACUCCGUGCCAGCAGCCGCGGUAAUACGGAGGGUGCGAGCGUUAAUCGGAAUUACUGGGCGUAAAGCGCAUGCAGGUGGUUCAUUAAGUCAGAUGUGAAAGCCCGGGGCUCAACCUCGGAACUGCAUUUGAAACUGGUGAACUAGAGUACUGUAGAGGGGGGUAGAAUUUCA
rnacentral:rRNA from 1 species